rnacentral:rRNA from 1 species
GGAGUGGACGAACCUCUGGUGUACCAGUUAUCGUGUCAACGGUAUUGCUGGGUAGCUACGUUCGGUUGUGAUAACCGCUGAAAGCAUCUAAGCGGGAAGCCAUCCUCAAGAUUAUUUUCCCCAUUAGGCCCGAAGGAGACUACUUCGUUAAUAGGCAUCAGGUAUACGCACAGCAAUGUGUUUAGCCGAGAUGUACUAAUCGGCCAAUCGACUUUUUACU